GACGAACGCUGGCGGCGUGCUUAACACAUGCAAGUCGAACGGAAAGACCCUGCUUUUGUGGGGUGCUCGAGUGGCGAACGGGUGAGUAACACGUGAGUAACCUGCCCUUGACUUUGGGAUAACUUCAGGAAACUGGGGCUAAUACCGGAUAGGAGCUCCUGCUGCAUGGUGGGGGUUGGAAAGUUUCGGCGGUUGGGGAUGGACUCGCGGCUUAUCAGCUUGUUGGUGGGGUAGUGGCUUACCAAGGCUUUGACGGGUAGCCGGCCUGAGAGGGUGGCCGGCCACAUUGGGACUGAGAUACGGCCCAGACUCCUACGUGAGGCAGCAGUGGGGAAUAUUGCACAAUGGGCGGAAGCCUGAUGCAGCAACGCCGCGUGCGUGAUGACGGCCUUCGGGUUGUAAACCGCUUUCGCCUGUGACGAAGCGUGAGUGACGGUAAUGGGUAAAGAAGCACCGGCUAACUACGUG
rnacentral:rRNA from 1 species